AACUAACGCUGGCGGCGUGCCUAACACAUGCAAGUCGUACGAGAAAGUUGGCUUCGGCCGAUGAGUAAAGUGGCGCACGGGUGAGUAAUGCGUGGAUAAUCUGCCCUUUAGUUGGGAAUAACGUACCGAAAGGUGCGCUAAUACCUGAUAAUACUGCAUAACUACUGUUGUGUAGUCAAAGAAGGCCUCUGUUUACAAGCUUUUGCUGAAGGAUGAGUCCGCGUACCAUUAGCUGGUUGGUGGGGUAAUGGCCUACCAAGGCUACGAUGGUUAGCUGGUCUGAGAGGAUGAUCAGCCACACUGGAACUGAGACACGGUCCAGACUCCUACGGGAGGCAGCAGUGAGGAAUAUUGCGCAAUGGGGGCAACCCUGACGCAGCAACGCCGCGUGAGUGAGGAAGGUUUUCGGACCGUAAAGCUCUGUCGAGCGGGAAGAAAUGUAUCAUGGCUAAUAUCCAUGAUACUGACGGUACCGCUAAAGGAAGCACC
rnacentral:rRNA from 1 species